UACGUAGGGUGCGAGCGUUAAUCGGAAUUACUGGGCGUAAAGAGCGUGUAGGCGGUUUGGUAGGUCCGCUGUGAAAACUCGAGGCUCAACCUCGAGAUGUCGGCGGAAACCACUUGGCUAGAGUCCGGAAGAGGAGAGUGGAAUUCCCGGUGUAGCGGUGAAAUGCGCAGAUAUCGGGAAGAACACCUAUGGCGAAGGCAGCUCUCUGGGACGGUACUGACGCUGAGACGCGAAAGCGUGGGGAGCGAACAGG
rnacentral:rRNA from 1 species